CUGUGAUGGUAGCGUCACCAUUUGCUAAAUGGUUUGCUGUGAAGACUACUAGAGUACUACUGUCCAGGUUACAUUUGAAAAGCUUCUUUGCCAAUCCUCAGCGAAUGUCAGUUGCUCCCUGCUGGGCUCCAGCUUUUCACCUCUGGUUCCUACAUCUGGAUUGUAGCCAUAAGUGGACUUAUGUCCGGUCUGUGCUACGACAGCAAAAUGUUCCAGGUGCAUCAGGUGCUCUGCAUCCCCAGCUGGAUGGCAAAAUUCUUUUCUUGGACACUUGAACCCAUCUUCUCUUCUUCAGAACCCACCAGCGAAGCCAGAAUUGGGAUGGGAGCCACGCUGGACAUCCAGAGACAGCAGAGAAUGGAGCUGCUGGACCGGCAGCUGAUGUUCUCUCAGUUUGCACAAGGGAGGCGACAGAGACAGCAGCAGGGAGGAAUGAUCAAUUGGAAUCGUCUUUUUCCUCCUUUACGUCAGCGACAAAACGUAAACUAUCAGGGCGGUCGGCAGUCUGAGCCAGCAGCGCCCCCUCUAGAAGUUUCUGAGGAACAGGUCGCCCGGCUCAUGGAGAUGGGAUUUUCCAGAGGUGAUGCUUUGGAAGCCCUGAGAGCUUCAAACAAUGACCUCAAUGUCGCCACCAACUUCCUGCUGCAGCACUGAUAUUCCCAGGCCAACACUGGGACCGGACCGGCAGCCGAGUGACAGUGCGUGGUCCCCACCAUCAGAUCAGCCCGGGGACCGAGCAUCUCUGGUGCUGAUGUUCUUGUGGGAAGAGGGAGGUUCCACCACACCCCUGCCCUCAACCGCAAGACUGUUGUCGUUUUAGUGUGGAGAUAAGUUUGCCAUUACAUUAGCAUGUAUUUUCUAUCUAUAUUUUUUAUUGGGCAUUUUCCCUAGGUUGGAGAGUCAGCACUCGUUUUGAAUGUGUUUAAAAUGCAUUAAAAUGGAAGAUUUCUGCAGGCAGUUGAAUGGCACUCCAGAUGGGGAAUUGCUGUAACCCUCUUACUGUAACGUGUCAUCUCC
rnacentral:sRNA from 1 species